GCUCCCAUGCAGCCUGAAAGGCUGGUCUUACUCUUCCGGUGUCCCCUCCAAGUUUAUUUCCAGGCAGCCGGUGAGCAGGGCUGAGAACCUGCUCCAGGCUACAACCCCCCUCACUGAGAAAGCAAGCAGGCCUUUCAGGUUUUGUACCUCCCAGUCUGCCGCAUCUUCUGUGAUCAUAUCUGCACUCCCUGUUUGCCACCUUCACCAGAUUCUGUCCAGGAAACUUCACAUUCCAUCAAAGUUGUUACAAAGUUCAGCUGGAAGAUUCCUUUUCCCUGUGGUCUUUCCCCAAUUGCACUGGCAGUCCUCCCCAAGGACUCCUGGGAGACAAAGUCAGAAAUGGCUUCCCUGGGAAUGAGAGUGCCCACAGGGCUCUCCCCACUGCUUCCUCUACCCCUGUAUUUUGCUUGGCUCUCUUAAAUUCAUCUCAGCUCCAGAACACAUGGGAGUCCCACCAGCUUGAAAAAAUAUUUCACAGAGCUGGCAUUUCUAUCAGUGCAGACACGGCUCUGAAAACAGUAAUUGCUGCCUUAUGGAUAUGAUACUCUCAUUUCUACUCUGACCUCCUCCCAGGAGAAUCUCUUCUGCAAAUGACCACAGUACUUCACUUGAGUUCUGCGUCAUCCUCCUCCUAUUAGUUCAAGUGGUCUGCUAAGCGGUUCAUGAACCACUUCCCUCAGCUGACCCAGAUGAAGUAAGCUCUUCUUUGCUGCUAUGCCCAGAGCCCAGACAAGUUAAAAAUCUCAGCCUGACUUGGCCUGUUAUCCCUCAGCUUCCAGUCCUGACUCCAAGAUGCCUUCUUUCUAUAAGUCUUCACCCUACUGACUCAGGUUCCUACGAUGCACACCACUGUCUUCUGAGAACAGCACACAUGGGGCAGAGCAGAAUCAAGGGGAGAGAAAGAAGAGUUAACAACUCUCAGAAACCUGAAAAUAAAGAGGAUGUGGCUAGAAAUGGGACCUCAGAAAGUUCCACA